CACAAACUUUGUGAACUUUCCAAACUUCUCAACAAUCAGUUCCACUCCAUUCAUUAGAGAGAGCAGCAAUGAUCCUGUGGCUAAGUGUGGUGUCCUUACUAGCUGUCCUCAGAGGUGUCCAAUCUGAGGUCCAGUUGGUGGAGUCUGGAGGGGAUGUGAAAAGACCUGGAGAUUCUUUACGUCUCUCCUGCCAAGGUUCUGGAUACAACUUUGGUGGCUACAACAUGGGCUGGGUGAGACAGGCCCCAGGAAAAGGACUGGAAUGGGUGUCAUACAUAAGCUACAAUUCUGGUACUAUUUACUACUCAGACAAAGUCAAGGGGCGAUUCACCAUUUCCAGGGACAAUGCCAAAAGCCAGCUGUAUCUGCAGAUGAAUAGCCUCAAACCAGAGGACACGGCAGUCUAUUACUGUGCAAGAGACACAGUGAGAGGAAGUAAAUCUGAAGUUUGA